ACGCAGAAACAGCUGGACACGAAAAUACGCUUGUUACAGGAGGAACUGACAGCUUGUAGGACCUGUCUUAGCCAUACAAAAAACAUGUACAUCAGUGUACCUGACUACAGGGUGUCUUCUACUACAAUCGGACUUUCCGGUGUGGCUUUUGUUACAACAGUGGUGGCCGCCAUCUUUCUACUGGACCUGGUCAACAUGUUCAGGCUGUUCUGUGAGCAGGUCAAGAC